rnacentral:misc_RNA from 1 species
AUGGCGCACACCAGCGAUGGAUGGGGAGCUCCAUAUGAUAAUCAAACCUACGUCGAAGCUUACGAACAACUGGAAAUUGCACUUUUGGAGCCACUUGAUCGUAUUCUUGAAACGGCAAAUGUUGAAGAGUUUCGUCCAAAGUUCAAAAACCAUCAGGAUCCAAAUGAUAGAAAAAAUAAGAAAAAUAACGAUGAAGAAUGGAGAGAUUCCAUUUAUAAUAUCGCAACGGAUGAAUCGGAUACUGAUGAUCAUGAGCAGAGAAAGAACUUUUUUCAACCACCACUUCAAGUUCAAAGAAACUCAUUCGUUAAGAAUACUCUGAUGGAAUUCAAAAGAUCUUCUCAAAUUGAUAUCAGCCGACUUGCUGUGAUGGGAUGUGGAGAAAUGUCGUUGGAGAAAGGAAUAUGUGAAUAUCUUGGAUCUUUUGGAACUAUCAAUGUUCUUUCUGUCGAUAUUGAUGAGCCUUCGUUGUCUAUUGGACAACAGUUGCUGGGAAAACAUUUGGAACGUAAUGCAGAGAUCUUAGCUGUGGAAACAGGACUUCCAGUGCUGAUGCGAUCAUAUGUCGGAGAUAUUCUUGAACCAGAUCAUCGCUUUGCCGAUGUUGAUGCGAUCGUCUCAAUGGAAGUCGUUGAACACAUCCCUCUUCCAAAUGCGAAAAAAUUUGUCGAAAAUGUUCUGGGGACUUUGAUGCCACGCAUUUUCAUUUUUUCUACGCCAAAUCAUGAAUAUAAUGCAGUAUUUGGAAUGGAGCCUGGCGAGUUUCGACAUGGCGAUCAUAAAUUUGAGAUGAAUAGGAAAGAGUUCUCGAAUUGGCUGGAAGAGCUUUCAAUUCGUUUUCCGCAUUAUCAAAUCGAUCCACCACAUUACAUCGGAAUGACACGUGGCUACGAGAAUCUCAGUGGUGCUUCUCAGGCUGCAGUAUGUCGCCUCCAAGUAGAUCUCAACACAACUCUUCCGCAAGAAGUUACACCAUACGAAAUGGUUGGGCACUUGCCGUGCAGAUUGGGAUCCCGAUUGAUUGCUUAUAAUCUUGUGAAAGAAGCUUUUUUGGAUUGGUUGGAAAAGAUUGAGCUUCAAGAGCACGAACCGAGAACGGACGGCUACUCUCCUUAUUGGAUUUUUAAUGUCCAAAACAUUCUUCAUCAUCUGAAAGCGCCGGUCAGCUUUGCUCUCACUAUUGAUGAAAAAGUAGCAAUGCAAGUUUCUUCAGUAAUCGGAACAGUUGAAUUUUAAAUCUUAUUUUCAGAAAAUACAUUCAAGGAAUGACCAGUCGCAAAGUUCAUGCCGAAUAUUCACACGGUUUUAAUGGUAUUGUCAUUUUACAAAUGCAUUCAAAGGAAGAGCUCAUCAAAACGGUUCAAGAUAAUACACUUUAA